UUAAUUUUCAUCCCUUAAUCAUUGAAAAAAUUGACAUUAUUUUAUACAUGAUAAGAUUUUCAUGAUAGCUAAUUUUUAAAUUAUAUUAUCCUGAAAAUUAUAAUGUUUCUUACAUUCAUAUCCGAUCAGUAGCUUCUUAGUGAUAGCCGUUUUAAUAUCUAGAGAAAGGUGUGAAAAACCAUACUACCAACAGUUACGCGAUAGUCAAUCGUAGUCGUGAAACAAGGUAA